rnacentral:lncRNA from 1 species
UUCCCAUUACACUAUUAAAAUCGCGUUCCUUAAAUAUUGCAAUAAUCUUUUCCUCACUGAAAUGAUGGGAUUUCCUCUUCCAUUAUUCUCAUUGUCUUUUGAGCCAGAUUUUACACCCUCUACAACUUGCUUCUCUUGAAAGCGUUUUCCCCGCCGGCCACGCACCUGCUGCUUCUCCCUGUGGUUCUGCUGCCUCCGCUCCUCUCUGCGCAGGCUCACGUUCUGCCCAGCGAAUGACGUUCUUUCUUAAAGGCCCAACCGCUCAGCGAUGACUCCAGAUAGAUUCCUUAACUGAACUUCAGCGGCUGCCUGCCGUUCAGACCUCUAAGACAUCGUCUUUUUGAAGUCUUCUACCAACAGAUCUCGCUGAGAAACAAUAUGAAAUAAAAAAUACUUUUUCCUCUAGGAUUUUUUUAGUAACCCAAGGGUGCUGUGUUUUCUUCUUGGUCUGCGUGAUAAGAAGAGUAACAGCUAAGGACAGUAGCACACAUGUGUAAUUCCAGAGGCUAAAGCAGGAGGAUUGCAAACUUGAGUAGAGCCUGGGCAAUUUAGAAGCUUAGCAAGACCCUGUCUCAAAACAGAAAACAGAAGAAGGAAGAGAUACCACACAGCAAUUACCUCUUAUGAAACUACUUUUUGGUAUAGAUGCUAAAGAAAACUAUUCACAAUUCUCUGGAAAUACUGAAAUGUUCUUCUUUUUGCCAAAAGCAUAUCCUUAGGAGGUCAAAUCUUCUUUAUAUUUCAACCAAAAAUAGCAGAUUGGAAGCAAAACCAGGGCCUGGUACAUGCUAGGAAAGCACUAUACCAUAGAGCUGUGCCCCCAGCCCUCAUGCUUUAAUACAAUCACCUGUGCCAUUGUCUCGAGAGGUGCCUGGAGGAGGUGAGAGAUUUGUUAGAAAGACUGUGUUGAUAGAUGAUGGUGGAUUUAAGCAGGCUGGAGCAAUGGAAGAGGAGUUAACAAUAUAACCACAAGCCUGGAAGUCACUUCAAGGAGUCCUAGUCCACCUUCCCACCCAGCCUUCCACCAACUCUGAGCAACCGGAAAAGGAAGUGUUAUUGCUCAGUGUCCUUGUCGGGGCUUUCUAGCUGACAGUCAGAGAUAAAGGAGCGAGUGAAUUAUUAUUUGCUAGUUAAGGAAAUUCAUCACAAUGAUUCUUCUUCUUAUGGAAAAGGAACAAGCCUGGUGCUGAGUACAGUGGCAAAUCUGAUCUGAAGUUACCUUAGAAGACCAAUCAUUGCAGGAAUAUCCAUACUGACUUAAAAUUGAUCAAAGACCUAGUUAUAAGACCUGAAACUUUGAUACUGCUAGAAGAAAACAUAAAGGGAAUACCUGAAGUAAUAGGCCCAAGUAAAACUUUCUGAAUAGAACUCCAACAGCACAGGAAAUAAUAACAAAAAUCAAUAAAUGCACAGUAAAGGAAGCAAUCAACAGAAUGAAGACUAAUCAACAGAAUGAAGAGUAAAGGAAGCAAUCAACAGAAUGAAGAGCAGAAUGAAGAGCAAUCCCAUUACAGAAUGGGAGCAAAUCUUUGCCAGCUACUCUUCUGACAGAGAAUCAGUCUCUAGAAUACAUAAAGAACUAAAAAAGCUUAACACCAAAAAUAUCCCAACCAAUAAAUGGGCAAAUAAAUGGACACUUUUCAAAUAAGUACAAAUGGCCAAUAAGUGUACACUUCCCUUUUAGUCCUCAGGGUCCCCUACAACUUUAAAAAAAACUAACAAAUUCAAGGUGGAGUUUAAAAGGCAUGUGAGAAAAUUAAGGGCAAAGAGGUCCAGGAGAGGUAUAUGUAUUUAGAAAUUGGCCUGCCCUCGCAUCAUGCUUAUCAACUUGUGAAACCUCCUACAACCUGUUAUUGUGACCCUGGAACAGAGCUGAUGAUCCAUCCCAUAGUGAGAAAUAAAAUGCCUAAUUCUUGAUCUGCACUUGUGCAGUUCCUGUCAGGCCUUGGAUGUCCUUAGGACACAGUUACAUCCUUCUUUUUGUACCCUAAUUUAGUUCACUUUCUAUUGCUCGGACAGAAUGCCACAGACUGGAUGAAUUAUAAAGCAUAGAAAUUUAUUUGGCUUAAAGUUUUGGAGGCUUGCAAGUUGAUAACAAUGGCAAGGGGCUCUGUGCUAUAUCAUGACACAUGAGACAGAAAAAAAGGGAAAGAGGAAACCAAACUCAAACACAGUCUCUAGCUAACCAACCCACUUUUGUAGUAACUUAACCAUUCCCACCAUAACAUUAAACUGUUCACGAAGGCAGAGCUCUAGUAGCUUAAUCAUCCCUUAGAUAUCUCACUUCUCAAUUCAUAUUACAAUGGCAAUUAACUUUCAACACGCUUUCUAGAUGGGACAUUCAAACUGUAGCAAACCCUUAAGUAGGUCAGCCUUAUCAGCCUUGCUGUUGGUGUGGUUCUAAUUCCGGGGUCAAACACUUUGGAAACUGAACCCCUUUCCCCACUGCACACAUGAUACUUUAGACCCUCUAAGCUUGAUUUGCCAGUUUUUCAGCAUUCAGCACAAAGCAUUCCAAUAGAGCCCACGGCACUGUUGUCUCUCAACAAAGUUCCUUUGUGCCAAAUGCCUUCCUCUUUUUUUGCCAUCAGGCCACUUACUGGUAUGGUAUACCUGUGUUGUAGGCAGAACAGUGGUUCCCCCAAAGAUGUCCAUAUCCAAAUCCCUAGAAUCUAUAAAUCUGUUGGUUUACGUGACAGAGGAAAAUGAACGUUGCAGAUGGAAUUAAGGUUGCAGUGUGAGACCUAACUAACUCCAUUUUAAAGUUUGACUCCAUCUUAAAAUAAGACAGUGAAGUGGCCUUGACAUAAAUUCUACUUUACUGAAAUCAGCUAUUCCCCUAGUCUCCUUUGUGCCCAUAAAAUAAUGAUAAAAUGUCCUUGCUGUGGGACAACAGAUAAAAAAAGACACAGCUCCUAACUCAAUCCUCUGUCUGUCCAAAAAACAGAUGCUCCCGGAUCUAUAGAACAUUCUGUCAAUGUGCUGAUUGUUCCUUUUUCCCAUAAACUCUACAUGUAGCCACCCCUCAACCCCCCAUGCUUGCUAAAUAUCAACCAAUCAUGUUACUGCUAAAUGGAACAUUCCCCAAACCUUUCAGUAGCCACAAUAAAAACCCUGCUGAUUUGAAAUUCAGGGCUCUCAAUCCUGAUCCACUGCGUCGGUGACAGUUGAGUGCCCCUGCUCGAGCUUGAAUGAACGACCCUCGUGUGUUUACAUCGGGAUCAGCUCCUUGAUGGUCUUUGGGGACUUCGCGAUCUGGGCACAACAUUUGGGGGCUCGUCUGGGAUCCCCAAGACCCUCAGGAUUCCUGUACCGGAGGGUGGAUGCUGGCUGAAGCAGCCGCCUGCGGCAGUCCUAGCAGUGUGCAAAAAAACCACCAGAGGAGACUGCCGGAGAGGAGAAACCAAAACAAAACCCACGGCGCCGCUUUACCCAGUUCUCCAAGGAGGAACUGAAGAAGAUCUCCUUUUCCCCCCCUCCCCACCACCCGCACCCCGCUCCUCCACUCCCUCUGACCCCAACGGGGGUGGAGGGAAGAGCGUGGGCAGGGUUGGAGGGAGGAGCCCCGGCGGAGGCCGGGGAGAAAAUACAUGGCCGGGCGGACAUUGCUAGAGGAGAUGGCCCCGCCCAAAACACCCGCAACCACACGCAGCCUCGCCGGUGGCGGGGCCAGCAGAUUCCACUGUCUUCCCGUUGAGGGCGACUCGACCCCCUGAUGAACAUGGCAAUCAGCCUCUCCAGUAUUGGCCCUUUGCCACUAGUGACCUUUAUAAUUGGCGCACACAACACGCCAAGUUUUCUGACAAUCCCAGGGAUCUAAUCCAACUGUUGGAGACUGUUUUGUUCACCCACCAGCCCACCUGGGAUGACUGUCAGCAGCUCUUCCAGAUCCUGUUCACAAUGGAACAGCGUGAAAGGAUUCAGAACGAGGCCGGAAAAUUGGUUCCUGGUGACAGUGGUCAACCCACCCUCAAUGUUGACACUAUCAACACUUCUUUUCCUUUGUCCCGGCCCAACUGGGACUUCAACAUGGCAGAAGAGCCUCCAGCUUGUUCAUAAAGACAUCUGGCCUAAAUUAAAAGCCCUGUAAGAGUCCAGACCACCACCUGAGCCCCAUCGCUAUCGACCAGGGGACUGGGUUUUUGUCCAAAGACAUCGACAGAAAAACCUUGAGCCUCGCUGGAAGGGACCCUAUGUUAUUGUUUUAACCACGCCCACCACUCUCAAAGUCGACGAGAUCGCCUCGUGGAUACAUUACACUCACGCCCGCCCCGCAGAUCCACACGCUGUUCUAGAAGACGUCAUCCCAUCAUGACAGGUGUCCAAAGACCGAGACAACCCACUCAAACUCAAACUGCACCAUUGUCAGUCAUAAUUAUGGUAACUGUACUUUUAACAUCGGUAAUGGGAGGACAAAACCCACAUGCUCCUCUAAACUUAACCUGGGUUAUCAUUAGUACCUCCACAGGUGACAUUGUUAACAGUUCAUUUAAAGUAACACCACUGCUGACCUGGUGGCCUGCUAUAGACUUUGACCUGUGCCUGCUAGCAGCAGGAACAUGAGAUAUUAGAGACUAGAAAACAAAAUAAAAGAAAAAGCCUAAAUGUGGACAAAAUAUCAAUGAUUGUGAGAUAAAAAUGCCGACCUCUUCUGCCCCCCCGGGUGUAGUCACCCAGUCCAGAGAGCCAUUUUACAAGUCACCCCGUUCUAUGUCUGUCCAGGGGGAGGACACAAACAAGCUCAAGCAAAUAGAUGCAGAGGUCCUGAUAAGUUCUAUUGUGAAGAAUGGGGAUGUAAAUCCACGGGCACUGUCUCAUAGACUCCGCCUGUCAAAGAUGAUUUAAUCUUGUUAAAAAGAG